rnacentral:rRNA from 1 species
UACGGAGGGUGCAAGCGUUAUCCGGAUUCACUGGGUUUAAAGGGUGCGUAGGCGGGCAGGUAAGUCAGUGGUGAAAUCUCCGAGCUUAACUCGGAAACUGCCGUUGAUACUAUUUGUCUUGAAUAUUGUGGAGGUAAGCAGAAUAUGUCAUGUAGCGGUGAAAUGCUUAGAUAUGACAUAGAACACCAAUUGCGAAGGCAGCUUACUACACAACGAUUGACGCUGAGGCACGAAAGCGUGGGGAUCAAACAGG